CUAUUGCAACUUGCGUGAGGGAUAAUAGUGGAAAGACCGGAAUCUAGAUGAAGCGUAGCGAAAACAAGAUGAGGACUUGCAGCGGAUAGCCCGACAGCGA
rnacentral:sRNA from 1 species